rnacentral:lncRNA from 1 species
AAUUGUGCUGAGAAACAAAGGAGAGUGGAUUAAGAACACAGCAGCCUGCCUCCACAGCUUUGGAAUUGAUGUGCAAACAAUUUCCUUGGGAGGAAAUUUUUAUAUACAAGAGGAUUCACUCCAAAUUGUACGCCACACUCAGGCAUGGGACUAAGAUAAUGAAAGAGAGGCACCUGACUCAAGCAAUGGAUGUAGGAGCAGAAGACUAGAAGGGAAAGCAAGUACAUGCUACCUGUCUGGGCAAGACCUUUCAGUGCCUUUCCAUAUUUCAAUGGGUAGUCAUCUGCACACCUUCCAGUCUUUUCUUCUGUAUUGCAAAGGCUAGAAGCCUUGGUACUAUAUUUAUCAAUCUUACAUUUUUUUAAACAAAUCUUCAAUGUGAUUCUCAUUUUGCUAAGAUACAUUUGUAUGAGAUUUUGAGAUAGAAAAGUAUGAAAAAAAGCAUUGCCUUCUUUCUCAGUGGCAGCACACAAACAUAUGGACUUCACAGACAUGACAUUUUGUAGCAACUUCUAGAUCUUUCCCCUGUGAGUGCCCUGGGACAUCAUUACAAUAAAUAAACCUUUCAAGAAGUCAAAGGAUGGUAGUUUCCACAGAAGCAUUGCAAGCAUUGAGAAGAAAAAUAAUCCAUAUCUAGUAGGUUUAUUUUUCUGAGGAUAAAUCUCUGGCCUCUCCAUAUUGAAAAGGAUCUCCUGUAAAUUAUCCUGCCAUCAGGUUGCUGGCUGGUUUGCCAGGGAUAUAAAGCCCUAUUAGUGAGCCAGUGGUGACCUUUGCUGCUGUCUCGUUAGAUGUGCAGCAGCACUGCAGUCACCCUUUCUGAGGGAAAGUUCACGUUUUGAAGCCUAGGUAGAAAUUUCCUCUGUACCACCAUGGUUUCACUGAAUGUGAGUCAAUUGAGGCAUCACCAGGGUGGCAAAAAGUUAUCAAGUCAAGCCCAGUCAACUCAGAAAAUUCAUCUCAGAAUUCCAUUUUAGGUCAAUUUCCUGGCAUAAUGUUGAAACACUCUGCCCUUUAGUAUCUGGAACAAUGUCUAACACAAUAAUGCUUAACACCGGGGAAAUGAGGGCAUAGGUCUGAAUCUCAGGAGAUUCCUUUUAUGGGGAAUAUCUUUUAACACCCCUUAGGAAACGUCAACUCACUAAAGACAGUACCAAUAAGGUCUCCUGCGUGCCCCAGGAAUAAAGAUUUAAAUCACACCAGCUCAAUGCUGGUUGAGGGCAAGGGAACAAUGAAUGGCUUGUGGAACGGGAAAGUUAAAAAUGCAAAUUACAACUUUGUGACCCAUUUAAAGAAAGAACUUGAAUAGCUAUGCAUAUUUGUGUUUUCUUCCUUGCUUUAUUAUGUACAUAUUUGUAUAUAUUAGCCACUAACUUCUUAUCUUACCUUCAUUCUUCACUUACUAAUUUACAUAAGUUACUGGUAGUUCAUAUAAAUUCAUUUUUGGAGACUAAAUAUAAAAGCGGAAUUGCAACUGAACUUAAGCAAGAAUCAAUAUCACCCAGGGCUAGAUUUGGCAACUAAUAGAAGUUUGGAUCUCUAUUUUUAGAGGAGAGAUUGAGAAAAUUUUUGUAUGGGGAAUUAUUCUAUUCUAUUAGCAAGAAUUAUGUUGUUUUUUGCCAUUGCUGCUAAUUAAAAUUUUAAAUAUUGUCCAAAGUG